CGGCUAACCCUAACUCCUUGUGGCCAUUCCCCAUCUCUAUCACACGCCGCCAGUCUGCCGCUGCUCUUGCCUCUAGUUUUCCCAGAUCCCAUCGAUCUCCGGCGAGCGCCCAACCCGUCCGCCCCGGCACGUCCCCACCCUCGCCACUGCUCCCUGAAGCACGACCUCUCAACUGAGCAGUCGGUGGCUCUGCCUGGGCAAAAUCCUGACCGCCUCAACCCCUCCGUGCUGGCCUUCUUCCCGGGCUCCGGCGGAGCGCCGCCUACAGGAGCACCUCGGAGUUUGCUAGAGCCCUCGCAGGAACUCCCUAAUUUGCCCCUCGCCAAUCGCAACACCUCCUGUGCGAAACCUCGAGCGCCUUAACCCCUUCGCGCACUCCUUCCCGGCCUGCUCCGGCGGAGCGCCACCUCCAGGAGCACCGCGCAGCCACCUAGAGUUUCCCGGCGCCCUCGGCUGAAGAUCCUGCGCCUCGAGUCGACCCCGCCACGGCACCCUUGCUGGCCGUCUUGGACCUGUGUCGCCACCCUCGUCCGACUGCACCAAGCACUCCAACUGUUCCGCGGGGGAAGAUGCCUCAACUUGGCAUGGAAUUUUAGCACCGUGGAUUAGCAUCAUAAAGAGAACACGUUGAAGCAGGUUUGAUGGUAUAGUCGUUUCAUGCAGAUAUAUUUGUUUCAAAGAGGGUAAAACUUAGCAUAUAAGAGAGAUCAUCUUACUAGUAUUUUGUAUGCUACUGUUCUUACUCUCCUGGUUGCUACCGUAGCUUUUAGUAUGCUACUGUUCUUGCUCUCCUGUUUGAGAAACAAUAUAGUACUCCCUCCGUUUCAUAAAGGUUGGCACGGAUUUGAACUAGAGCUAGUUCAAAGCCACGCCAAUCUUUAUGGAACGGAGGGAGUAGUAUAGUAAGAUAUUGGUUCUUGAUAUUAUUGAUGAUUUCAGCAAAGUGUUUGCACGUUAUCCAUGUAUGAUCAAAUAUGAAACUGUUGUAUUCAUUCAAUUUGGUAGCUAAAGAGGCAAAAGAGGUGUUUCCCCCCCUCCAGAGUGAUGUUUUCUGCCUCUGACUUUCGUUGAGCGAGGUACCGGCUCCUAGGCUAGAUGUGUACCUUCGUUGUUAAAGUCAGCAUGGUUCCUUAAUGCACUUUGCUUAGGUUUUUCUUUAUUGUAUGUUGCUGCUUUGUAGAUCUUAAAAAGUUGAAGGUCUUCAAUCUGGGGCUUAACCAUAUUUUAAAUGCUAGUUUGGUUCAUCUGAAAGCUAUCCCUUGGGAUUUUGACAAAGGUGUGUGUAUUUAGUACAAAUGCAUGUUGCAGCUGCAUUUUACUAAUGACCUGAUGAAAAAUGAAGUAAAGUAAAAGCUAACCAUUGCUUUGGUGUCCUGCAAUCUAGCCAUUGUUUCGAUUAUGUGCAAUUAAACUGAUACAUUAGCAGAUGUGUUGAUAACUCUUUUGUUAUCUGUUCUUACAAACAGGUAUAACUCAUUUACUAUUGUGUUUUCUCAGUGUAUUAGUUUUUGAACAUGUGCUUAUCAUACAUUUUAAACUUGCAGCAGGUGUAACAAAGGAUUUCAUCUGGCUAAUGAGCUGCUUUUGGGCUUGAUACUUCAAAAGAUCUGGAAUGUUUGUAGAUGCUGAUUUCGAAUAUGUCGAGGCAUUAGAUUGGCAGAACUUGCUUGAUCGGUCUGUGUUAUACAAUCUCUUCUAUUUAGUAUCCAUUGUGCUAUGCUGAAUAUAUCCAAGUACUUGGCAUUGUAUUAUGAUCUGUGUGUAUAUUAUUAAAUGAUUUAUAUCGAUUUUUGUUUAUGGUCAAAGUUUGGUGAUUCCUCAAUGCCUGAAUGUUGCUGUAAUUCUGUUGAUGCAUGGACGUUGUUGUAGUUCUGUUGAUGGAUAUUGUGAUGGAUGGUUGAUGUGAAUUAAGUGUGGUAUUUCUACUUUCUGCAUCGGAAAAUAGGAAAAUUUUCAAUUAAUUAUUGUGAGAUGGUUGGCAUACUGUCUGUCAGCAAGUCAAAAAAUGAUGACACACUGUCUGUCAGAAUAGAUUGUAAAACGAUGUCAUGUUGUCUGUCAGCAUUUAUCAGGAGAAGAUGGCAUAUUGUCUGUCAGGAAUUUUCCAAUAUAACGUGGCAAAUUGUCUGUCGGCAUAUUGAUGUAUAGAAGGCACGCAGUCUGUCAGGAAAACAAAAGUCUGUUGGCAUUGAUUUUAGAGGACGGCCAGCUUCCUGACAAACGUGGCUGACAGUUUGUCUGUCGGCAAAGGCACUUGCUGACAGACCUGCUGCUAGUAGAGCCCAUCUAUGCUGACAGAUAUGCUGACAGACACGCGCGUCGGCUAUCAUAGUGCGUGGUGUAGCUAUAUAUUUAGUUAAUUGAACUUAAAACCGUGACAACAUUUAUCUCACGAUUAAGUAUUUUGGAAUUUUAAGGUGUCUAUGAUAUCAGGAAGAGUUAUAGCUCCAUAAUGCCACGAUAAACGGUGCACGUGUCAAAUGAUUUAUCCCUUUUAUUUGUUUUUUAUAUUCUAGGACAAAAUGCGUGCGCGGCUCGGAGCAUGGGAGGCAGCAGGCAGGCUCAGCGUACUCGCCGGUGCUUGGUUAAGGCAGCGCUGGAGAAGAGAAAGAACAGAGGGGAGAGGACGUCAGAGGGAGAAGAAGGCGAGCGACAUGGGGCAAGCCGAAGCGGCCAGCGUGGCCCUGACUUGUGGGCCCCACCGGUCAGAAUGCUUGUUAACAAACCCAAACAUGGAUUAGGAUCUUUGUGCAACGGAUUAGACGUCGAGUGGGUGUUCUCCGCAAAAAUGACGUCGACAGAGUGUUCGGUGCAACAACUCUCCCAAUGCGGUGGAAUGUGCAGUUCCCUGCGUUGGCGAGACUAGAAUAGACCUGUCACUCCAGCGGCGACGAGCAGCAUGCCCGCGCCACCACCGCCUCCGGCUGGCGGACGGCGGCGCUGGAAGCACCGGCUGAGCCCCACGCUCGCGCGGGACCGCUGCUACGCCCGCUCGUUCCGCGCUGCCGGCCUCCGCCAGGCCGCCGUUCCGCUUCCCGACGGGACCGUCCUUCACUUCUUGCUCCCGAGCCCCGACCCGGCCCUCCAUCCCGUCCUCCUCCUCCACGGCUUCGGCGCCAACGCCACCUGGCAGUGGGCUCCCUUCCUCCGUCCGCUCCUCGCUGCCGGCCUGGCCCCCUUUGUCCCCGACCUCGUCUUCUUCGGAGACUCCGCCUCCCCUUCCUCCCACCGAUCCCCGGUCUAUCAGGCUGCCUCCGUCGCCGCCGCCAUGGCUUCCCUCCCCGGCGCGCCGCAGAGGCACGCCGUCGUCGGCGUCAGCUACGGCGGCUUCGUGGCGUACCACCUCGCACAUGCGUUCCCUGCCGUGGUGGAGCGGCUAGUGCUCGUCGCGGCAGGUGUGUGUCUUGAGAAGGCUGAUUUAGCGGCAGGGCUGUUCGCUGUUGAAGAUAUCACGGAAGCGGCCAGCCUGCUGCUGCCGCAGCGACCGGAGGAUCUGAGGAGGUUGGUGGCGCUAACCUUCUGCCGGCCGCCAAAGUUCAUGCCGUCCUGCUUCAUCAGGGACUACAUCAGGGUUAUGUGCACCGAAAAUGUAAAAGAGAAGACUGAGUUGUUAUAUGCCUUGAUAAGUAGUAGGAAGCUUUCGGACCUUCCUAAGAUUAACCAGGCUCUCCUCCUUGGCCGCCUGCCAUCACCUGGCCGCUGCCCGUCCCCUAUCCGUGCCCAGGCCCUCCCAGGCUCCCUCUCUGAUGCGCCUGAUGUGAUGUGCUACGCAUGGGCGCCGGCGCGCUGCCAAGGACACCUUGAUCAACAAGGUUUUCUUCAUCUUCUCUAUUCCUAGAAAACCCUUCCCACAAGGCUUAAAAGAUCCUAUGGAAGGAGUACCCAGCUGAGAGCCAGACUCGGCUGCUGGCGAUGGCGGCACGGCCAGAGACUAACUAACGAAGAGCCUCCGCUGUCCUCUGCUUCUUCUCAGGCAUCCAGACCGCUGCCCCACAAAAUAGGAACAAAAAGGGCAGCUCAUGAUCAGAUUUUGAAGGAAAUUUUGGUUAAGUUGAUGAAUCCAAGUGUGGGAUCCGGAAGGUUUAAUUGCAUUGCACCCGUCGUUUUAACACUUCAACCUAAACGUCUGCAUCGAUCCUUGACCUGGUAAGUGUAUCACUGUAUGUAUCCUAGCAUGCAUUUGCUGCAGAAAAUGCACAAGAUACUACAUCGAAAGAACCCUUAAUUUUGUUCAGCUAUUAUAUAAUUAAGCCCUGAUGCUAUGGAAUUCACAUUCUUGAAACAGGUAGCAGGAAGUUUUUUGUUCUUAUAUUUACUAAUCUAGAAGAAAGCUUACCCUCUAGCUUAUCAAAGCAUAACAUCUACAAUAGUUUUCCUGCCCUUACUAUUUUGAAAUACAGGGGAACCAGUCCUGAAUGGAUUCUGGUGUUUUGAGUAGAGACGAUUGCAUGCAGCCUACGUAUAUACUUGGUCUAUGAAAUUUAGGAGUUAGAAAAGAUCCAUGUACAGAUAGGUAAUGGCUUUUGUUCUUGUUCUCAUUUCUACAUUCCUCCCUUUUUAUAUUACUCUUUAGCUAAACUAAAGAAGUAUAGAUGAAUUAUGUUAUGCUUUUCAAUAUAGAUAUUUGUGCAGGAAAAGUUGGAUUGAGUGGGUGCAAGAGAUGGCUGCCAAAUAAAAAAAAUCACAUGUCUUAGUUACAAAUCUUAUUAGCUGUCUAUGUUUUCGUUCUAACAACUGAUAACCUCAGACUUUAUCCAUUUUGCAUGGAUUCAGUUUGUUUCGUACAUAUCAUCUCUUUUAACAACUCUCACUUUACUGUAAUUACUCUGAACAACAGAUAAACUGCAAUUUCCUUUUACUGAAACUUAUCUGAAGCUACGACUACAACUAGCUAGCGUAAGACAACGAGGUGCCGAACAGCCGAAGGGAGUACAUGGAGAAGGAAAUGGUAUACUCAAUUGAUCACCUGCAAACUCUUUCUAAUUUCAGUUCCCAAUCUCUUUCUGAAGGGAAGGGAGUACAUGGAGAAGGUAACAUAGUUCACCUUGGCUUGAAUUUGUGCUACGAGUGUGUUGUAGAGUUCAUUCUGAGUCCACAGAAAUAAUAAAGAAGAUUCCAUACGGAAAAUGAUUCAUGUGAACAAAAGAACUUUAUGUUGAUUCUCAUUGUGCAUCUGUCAUUGCUCAAUGUAUAUAUUCCAUAUGUUGGUGUGAAAGCAUCUUAGUUUAUGUUUAAAAAGAGUCAUAUCGAGGGAGGGAAGAACUCAGUACCAGCUAAUGAUGUUUUGGGUAGUAAUAUCGAAGUGAUUAGUGGUAAAACAUGUAUAUUUUCUGUAGGGGUUAUCAAAGUAGCAUGAAUAUGCGUGCAUAUGGGAAAUGAAGUAUAAAAAAUCAUGUACUUACAUAGCUUCCAAACAGAUGCUGGAAAUUGUAGCUAUUUAUUCUGGAAUUAUUGGAAGAUUUCAAGUUGAUUUUAAAUGAAGGGUGGACUCAGCCCAAACGAAUUUGGAUAGUCGACAGUUCACAAUUAUUGAGUUUUAACCAAUGAGGUUGCUCAAUGUAGGGUGCACUUGAUUCCUUUUAAAAACAUUAACUCUAUAUUUUGGACUAGCUGAAUCAGACAUACUGGUUAUUAAGGGACAUUAAUUGCUAUUAAAAAUAAACAAUAUUCCCUAUUAUCAAAGGUAGAUGUCAUUUACUACCACCCACCUGUCUGUUUUAGAAAUAUACUGGUCACACAUUUUCUUCUCUAAAAAAAGAUCCAAAAUAUCAAAUUCCUAUUACUAGAUUCAUAAUGAGUAUGCUUUUAUACUAUAUAAUUACUUUUACAUGAGGCAACAUGUCUGCACAAAAAUUGAUGGUCAAGAUACCAUCUUCUUGAAGACUGACACACAUCCUAAAAGAUUUAAGUUUUCAAUUAUAAGAACUACAAUCUAGGUUAGAAAAAUUGUAAGCCUCUUUUAGUCCAUUUGUAGGCAGUUAAUUAUGAUCCGACCACUACGCAUUUGCAAUCUCAAUUGAUUGAGUACUCUGAAUUGUACAUCCAAAACUAGGAGGUUUCAUGACUACUAAGUGAACUUUUGUCAAAGCACCGAACCCGCUUGCUCAAGUGUGUUAUUAAACUAUUCAUAUGUCCUCUGUAAUAACCACAACAUACUGAAAAAAUAGUCAACGAUUGACUAUUAAUAUAUUCUCUUUUAAAAUAAGCAUGUUACAAGUAAAAAUAUCCGAUUGGCUAUUAGGUGAGUAAUGUUUGAAUGGUAUAUUAAGCAUAAUUUAUUUUCAAAAUAUUUAUGAAACAUCAAAAGCGUUGCCUGCGCAGAUGCGCAGGCCACUCUGCUAGUUUGUUGCAAACUAUGUUAAUUUUGCAGCAAACCUUGAUAAUUUUUGGAGAACAGGAUAGGGUCUUUCCAUUAGAACUUGGCCUACGUCUGAAAAGGUUUGUCUGUUAUAACUACUAGUUACUAACCUCAUCAUAUCCAAGCUUCCAUUACGACACAAUUAAUAUUGGUGUAAAUUCAGACAUUUGGGGGAUACGUCAGAACUAAUCAUCAUAAAAAACGCUGGCCAUGCCAUAAACCGUGAAAGGCCAGCAGAGCUUUGCAGACUUAUAAAGAACUACAUCUGUGAUCCUUCAGUCAAAUACCGGGAUGAUCGCAA